rnacentral:lncRNA from 1 species
ACUUCGUCGUAAAUGAAAAAAGACGGGUCUGGUAACUUCGUCGUAAAUGAAAAAAGACGGGCCUGGUAACUUCGUCGUAAUAUUACGUGGAGUUUACGACGAAUGCCUUUCCCUAUAUAUUGAGACGCGCCAGAACGAGGGUGCCUCGUUCAUUACUCCCAAACACCUCUCUCCCUCUAAAGGUACCCCCCUCUCUCCUCUAUUAUUUUUUUAAGUUAGUUUAGAUUAUUAAUUAGUUAGGUAAUUAGUUUAGGUGAUUAGUUAGGUAACUAGUUUAG